CCUACGGGGGGCAGCAGUGAGGAAUAUUGGGCAAUGGAGGCAACUCUGACCCAGCCAUGCCGCGUGAGUGAAGAAGGUUUUCGGAUUGUAAAGCUCUUUCGGAUGUGACGAUGAUGACGGUAGCAUCUAAAGAAGCCCCGGCUAACUUCGUGCCAGCAGCCGCGGUAAUACGAAGGGGGCUAGCGUUGUUCGGAAUUACUGGGCGUAAAGGGAGUGUAGGUGGUUUAGUAAGUUAGUGGUGAAAUCCCAAGGCUUAACUUUUGAAUUGCCUUUAUAACUAGUAGACUAGAGUUACAGAGAGGAUAGUGGAAUGCCUAGUGUAGAGGUGAAAUUCGUAGAUAUUAGGUAGAACACCAGUGGCGAAGGCGGCUAUCUGGCUGUACAUUGACGCUGAGGCACGAAAGCAUGGGGAUCAAACAGGAUUAGAUACCCUAGUAGUC
rnacentral:rRNA from 1 species